CAACAAGCAUCUCACUAUCACUAACAUUAUUCACAUUCAUAUAUAGACGCAACAAUUGACAUACUCAGCUACAAAAAGCCCGGAAGUCUGAAGUUAGAAUGGAAGUACAAGUCAUUACUAUGGAGAUGAUACACCGUCUCGUCGCAUUAAAGUAGCAGCUUUC